GGAUCCAGACUUUGAUCAUGGCUCAGGACGAACGCUGGCGGCGUGCUUAACACAUGCAAGUCGAACGAUGAAGCUGGGGCUUGCUCUGGUGGAUUAGUGGCGAACGGGUGAGUAACACGUGAGUAACCUGCCCUUGACUCUGGGAUAACUGCUAGAAAUGGUAGCUAAUACCGGAUACGACCCUCGGAGGCAUCUUCAGGGGGUGGAAAGAAUUUCGGUCAAGGAUGGACUCGCGGCCUAUCAGCUAGUUGGUGAGGUAAUGGCUCACCAAGGCGACGACGGGUAGCCGGCCUGAGAGGGUGACCGGCCACACUGGGACUGAGACACGGCCCAGACUCCUACGGGAGGCAGCAGUGGGGAAUAUUGCACAAUGGGCGAAAGCCUGAUGCAGCAACGCCGCGUGAGGGACGAAGGCCUUCGGGUUGUAAACCUCUUUUAGUAGGGAAGAAGCGAAAGUGACGGUACCUGCAGAAAAAGCACCGGCUAACUACGUGCCAGCAGCCGCGGUAAUACGUAGGGUGCAAGCGUUGUCCGGAAUUAUUGGGCGUAAAGAGCUCGUAGGCGGUUUGUCGCGUCUGCUGUGAAAUCUGGGGGCUCAACCCCCAGCCUGCAGUGGGUACGGGCAGACUAGAGUGCGGUAGGGGAGAUUGGAAUUCCUGGUGUAGCGGUGGAAUGCGCAGAUAUCAGGAGGAACACCAAUGGCGAAGGCAGAUCUCUGGGCCGUUACUGACGCUGAGGAGCGAAAGCAUGGGGAGCAAACGGGAUUAGAUACCCUGGUAGUCCAUGCCGUAAACGUUGGGAACUAGAUGUAGGGGCCAUUCCACGGUUUCUGUGUCGCAGCUAACGCAUUAAGUUCCCCGCCUGGGGAGUACGGCCGCAAGGCUAAAACUCAAAGGAAUUGACGGGGGCCCGCACAAGCGGCGGAGCAUGCGGAUUAAUUCGAUGCAACGCGAAGAACCUUACCAAGGCUUGACAUAUACAGGAAAAGCGUAGAAAUACGCUCCCCGCAAGGUCUGUAUACAGGUGGUGCAUGGUUGUCGUCAGCUCGUGUCGUGAGAUGUUGGGUUAAGUCCCGCAACGAGCGCAACCC
rnacentral:rRNA from 1 species